UUCUUCAGGGGAAUAUUACUUUCCUUUUUUUUCUUCAGGGGAAUAUUACUUUCCUUUUUUUCCUUCAUGGGAAUAUUACUUUCCUUUUUUUUCUUCAGGGGAAUAUUACUUUCCUUUUUUUUCUUCAGGUGAAUAUUACUUUCCUUUUUUUUCUUCAGGUGAAUAUUACUUUCCUUUUUUUCCUUCAGGUGAAUAUUACUUUCCUUUUUUUUCUUCAGGGGAAUAUUACUUUCCUUUUUUUCUUCAGGGGAAUAUGACUUUCCUUUUUUUUCUUCAGGUGAAUAUUACUUUCCUUUUUUUCUUCAGGUGAAUAUU